UGUGAGUCAUCGAGUCUUUGAACGCACCUUGCGCCUUUUGGUAUUCCGAAAGGCAUGCCUGUUUGAGUCGUCAUUGAAAUCUCAAUCCCCUCGGGUUUUUCGACCUGGGUGGGACUUGGACUUGGGCGUCUUGCCAUCCGUGGCUCGCCUUAAUGGUGUCAGUGGGACUUUGUAUCCGAUCAUCAGACGUAAUAAGUUUCGUCUGUAUGGGAGACGGAGGCCUGCUCAUAAACCCGUGAUCUCUUUUUUGAGACACACUUUUUCGAUCUGACCUCAAAUCAGGUAGGGCUACCCGCUGAACUUAA
rnacentral:rRNA from 1 species